UACAGAGGUCUCAAGCGUUGUUCGGAUUCAUUGGGCGUAAAGGGUGUGUAGGUGGCGCGCUAAGUCGGGGUGUGAAAUUUCGGAGCUUAACUCCGAAACUGCAUUCGAUACUGGCGUGCUUGAGGACUGGAGAGGAGACUGGAAUUCAUGGUGUAGCAGUGAAAAUGCGUAGAGAUCAUGAGGAAGACCAGUGGCGAAGGCGGGUCUCUGGACAGUUCCUGACACUGAAACACGAAGGCCAGGGGGAGCAAAACGGG
rnacentral:rRNA from 1 species